rnacentral:rRNA from 1 species
UAGGGAAUCUUCGUCAAUGGACGAAAGUCUGACCGAGCAACGCCGCGUGAGUGAAGAAGGUUUUCGGAUCGUAAAACUCUGUUGUUAGAGAAGAACAAGGACGUUAGUAACUGAACGUCCCCUGACGGUAUCUAACCAGAAAGCCACGGCUAACUACGUGCCAGCAGCCGCGGUAAUACGUAGGUGGCAAGCGUUGUCCGGAUUUAUUGGGCGUAAAGCGAGCGCAGGCGGUUUAUUAAGUCUGAUGUGAAAGCCCCCGGCUCAACCGGGGAGGGUCAUUGGAAACUGGGAGACUUGAGGGCAGAAGAGGAGAGUGGAAUUCCAUGUGUAGCGGUGAAAUGCGUAGAUAUAUGGAAGAACACCAGUGGCGAAGGCGGCUAUCUGGUCUGUAACUGACGCUGAGGCUCGAAAGCGUGGGGAGCAAACAGG